rnacentral:misc_RNA from 1 species
UUGAAAUCCUCAAGGAUGUUGCUGGCCUGUUAAAAGGCAUGUGCACUCCUUAACCUUUCAACCCACCUGUGAACCUAUUGUAGGCCAGAUGAUAAUAAAGUCUGUGUCUAUGUUUUUAUACACACUCCAAAAAGUUUAUAGAAUAUUAUGAAUAAAAUAAUUCAAAAUA